rnacentral:rRNA from 2 species
GGGAAACCCAGUGUGACUCGUCACACUAUCAUUAACUGAAUCCAUAGGUUAAUGAGGCGAACCGGGGGAACUGAAACAUCUAAGUACCCCGAGGAAAAGAAAUCAACCGAGAUUCCCCCAGUAGCGGCGAGCGAACGGGGAGGAGCCCAGAGCCUGAAUCAGCAUGUGUGUUAGUGGAAGCGUCUGGAAAGGCGCGCGAUACAGGGUGACAGCCCCGUACACAAAAGCGCAUGUGCUGUGAGCUCGAUGAGUAGGGCGGGACACGUGGUAUCCUGUCUGAAUAUGGGGGGACCAUCCUCCAAGGCUAAAUACUCCUGACUGACCGAUAGUGAACCAGUACCGUGAGGGAAAGGCGAAAAGAACCCCGGCGAGGGGAGUGAAAAAGAACCUGAAACCGUGUACGUACAAGCAGUGGGAGCACCCUUUGGGUGUGACUGCGUACCUUUUGUAUAAUGGGUCAGCGACUUAUAUUCUGUAGCAAGGUUAACCGAAUAGGGGAGCCGGAGGGAAACCGAGUCUUAACCGGGCGUUAAGUUGCAGGGUAUAGACCCGAAACCCGGUGAUCUAGCCAUGGGCAGGUUGAAGGUUGGGUAACACUAACUGGAGGACCGAACCGACUAAUGUUGAAAAAUUAGCGGAUGACCUGUGGCUGGGGGUGAAAGGCCAAUCAAACCGGGAGAUAGCUGGUUCUCCCCGAAAGCUAUUUAGGUAGCGCCUCGUGAAUUCAUCUCCGGGGGUAGAGCACUGUUUCGGCUAGGGGGCCAUCCCGGCUUACCAACCCGAUGCAAACUGCGAAUACCGGAGAAUGUUAUCACGGGAGACACACGGCGGGUGCUAACGUCCGUCGUGAAGAGGGAAACAACCCAGACCGCCAGCUAAGGUCCCAAAGUCAUGGUUAAGUGGGAAACGAUGUGGGAAGGCCCAGACAGCCAGGAUGUUGGCUUAGAAGCAGCCAUCAUUUAAAGAAAGCGUAAUAGCUCACUGGUCGAGUCGGCCUGCGCGGAAGAUGUAACGGGGCUAAACCAUGCACCGAAGCUGCGGCAGCGACACUGUGUGUUGUUGGGUAGGGGAGCGUUCUGUAAGCCUGUGAAGGUGUGUCGUGAGGC